rnacentral:rRNA from 1 species
AUUAAAUAACAUAUAAAUUAAAACAAAUUUAAGAUAAUAUAAAUAAAAACAAGUUACAGAGAUGGAAAACAAAAUAUUAAUAAGUAAUAAAAAU